rnacentral:lncRNA from 1 species
UGAGAAAUAAUACCAAAUUCAAUAUGUUUCUAUACAUUUUUGGUCCUUGUGAGAUAUAUUUGAUGACAACAAAUCAAAAGCAAAACAAAACUUCUGAAGCAAACCAAGAGAGCAAUCCUUGAGGUGAGCGGGGCUCCAUGAGCUCUAUUGCUCAUAUGCUCCAAAGCUAUAGUUUAUUUGAAUUAAAAUUUGAUCUCUUCAUCCUCUCUAAAUUUUUUGCAGAUGAAUAGCACUUCACAAAGGGAGCAAGAAAUUCCAAUUCCUCCCUGAUUUCUCCCACUCCCAUUCUACAUCCCUAUAAAUGAUUCAAAAGCUCAUAUUUGUCCAAUUGCCUGACAUCCAUCAUAAGAAAAG